rnacentral:rRNA from 1 species
UACGUAGGCGGUUUGUUUAGUCAGAUGUGAAAGCCCCGGGCUUAACCUGGUAACUGCAUUUGAAACUGGCAAGCUAGAAUAUGGUAGAGGGGGGUAGAAUUUCUAGUGUAGCGGUGAAAUGCGUAGAUAUUAGAAGGAAUACCAGUGGCGAAGGCGGCCCCCUGGACCAAUAUUGACGCUGAGGUACGAAAGCGUGGGUAGCGAACAGGAUUAGAUACCCUGGUAGUC